rnacentral:rRNA from 1 species
CAGCAGCCGCGGUAAUACGAAGGGUGCAAGCGUUAAUCGGAAUUACUGGGCGUAAAGCGUGCGUAGGCGGUGAGUUAAGUCUGCUGUGAAAUCCCCGGGCUCAACCUGGGAAUGGCAAUGGAUACUGGCAAGCUAGAGUGUGUCAGAGGAUGGUGGAAUUCCCGGUGUAGCGGUGAAAUGCGUAGAGAUCGGGAGGAACAUCAGUGGCGAAGGCGGCCAUCUGGGACAACACUGACGCUGAGGCACGAAAGCGUGGGGAGCAAACAGGAUUAGAUACCCCCGUAGUCCCUGUCUCUUAUAC